rnacentral:rRNA from 1 species
AUUGAACGCUGGCGGCAUGCCUUACACAUGCAAGUCGAACGGCAGCACGGGGGCAACCCUGGUGGCGAGUGGCGAACGGGUGAGUAAUGCAUCGGAACGUGCCCAGUAGUGGGGGAUAACCAGUCGAAAGACUGGCUAAUACCGCAUACGACCCAAGGGUGAAAGCGGGGGACCGUAAGGCCUCGCGCUAUUGGAGCGGCCGAUGUCUGAUUAGCUAGUUGGCGGGGUAAGAGCCCACCAAGGCGACGAUCAGUAGCUGGUCUGAGAGGACGACCGGCCACACUGGGGCGGAGACACGGCCCAGACUCCUACGGGAGGCAGCAGUGGGGAAUGUUGGACAAUGGGCGCAAGCCUGAUCCAGCCAUGCCGCGUGCGGGAAGAAGGCCUUCGGGUUGUAAACCGCUUUUGGCAGGAACGAAACGGCGCAGGCCAAUACCUUGCGCUAAUGACGGUACCUGCAGAAUAAGCACCGGCUAACUACGUGCCAGCCGCCGCGGUAAGAC